rnacentral:rRNA from 1 species
GACGAACGCUGGCGGCGUGCUUAACACAUGCAAGUCGAACGGAAAGGCCCUGCUUUUGUGGGGUGCUCGAGUGGCGAACGGGUAGUAACACGUGAGUAACCUGCCCUUGACUUUGGGAUAACUUCAGGAAACUGGGGCUAAUACCGGAUAGGAGCUCCUGCUGCAUGGUGGGGGUUGGAAAGUUUCGGCGGUUGGGGAUGGACUCGCGGCUUAUCAGCUUGUUGGUGGGGUAGUGGCUUACCAAGGCUUUGACGGGUAGCCGGCCUGAGAGGGUGACCGGCCACAUUGGGACUGAGAUACGGCCCAGACACCUACGGGAGGCAGCAGUGGGGAAUAUUGCACAAUGGGCGGAAGCCUGAUGCAGCAACGCCGCGUGCGGGAUGACGGCCUUCGGGUUGUAAACCGCUUUCGCCUGUGACGAAGCGUGAGUGACGGUAAUGGGUAAAGAAGCACCGGCUAACUACGUG